rnacentral:lncRNA from 1 species
GUGCUCCCUCUGUGGGGAACCCUCCCUAAGUAGUGAGCAUCCAAAAAUGGUUCCGGAGACUGGAAGAAGGGGUUGCCUCCGGGAGAGGCCUGCAUACACUCUUUCCCCACCGUGCUUCUCAGCCCUGGGAUCUAGCCGGGAUCCUGAGCCAGGAGGGAUUAUCUGCCGCUGGGCCUUCAGCUCCUUCCUGCCCUCCCCGAAGCUGCUGACAGCCAGCCCUGCUUCCCUGGGGAGCUGCAGGACUGCCUUCCUGCUUUCUGCGACCUCCAUGAAGAAAAAUUCAUCACCGGAUGGCUGAGCAAUCCAGGCGGGCUCCAGAAAAAUGACAUUGAGUCACCUGGGCGCUCAUCGCUCUGACAGCCGUAGACUCACUGGGCCGCUAAUUAGCUCUUACAGGAAAGGGCCAGAUCUGUCAUCUUCCUCCGGAAGUGCCGGGCAGGAUUAGCUGCUGCUCCUGGAGGCUGGAGCCUCAUCCCAGGACAGGGGGACUCUGAGGGAUUCCAGUGAGCAGUGGGAAGACAGCCGUCCUUCCACUGGGGAAUCUCACUUCUGGGAAUUUAUCCCAGGGGAACAACCCAACCAGAAAGCUGAGCUGCACUCGACCAAGUCCAGCCUUGAGAAUGCCCUUGUUGCCCAGCAGUGGGGGAGGGGGGAGCAGUCAAGACCUUGGGGGCUUGCCAAUUAUGGAGUUAUGGCCUAUGAUGAGGAUGAGACACAGAGCCAUGGUGUGGAGAAUCAAAACUUUAUCACCCUGAUACCUGAACUUGCCCAUCUCAGCCAAGCCUGCCCUAAACACGCCUAUUUCUGACCCAGUGAUCCACAUAGGGGACCUGGUCACUCAACUCCCUGCUAAUGUGUAUCCUCACAUCUGACAGCUCUGCUUAAAUCACGGAUCUAGACCUUGAGUCUUAGCAGCAUUUGUCAACUGGACCUAGUGUCAAGACUCACUGUGCCUGGCUGGGUCGCCAGCUACCAGCCCUUGUCUCCCUCUCUCCCACCCCCAGGGCACCCCAGUCAGCUGGGCGAGGAGCUUGUCAUGGUCCUGGAGGAAGGCUUUUCCAGUCAGUAGUGUGUAGAUGAUCUGAACCACUGCUUGGAUAAAGGUUUCAUUUUUUCUCAACUGAAGCUGUUACCCUGGAGAAUCAGAAGACAGAGACUGUAGGCCAUAGGAACACCACUGGGAGACAAAAGGCUUCCACAAAGUGAGGACAAAUUGAAUUGUCUCAGCAAUUUCCCUGGAAUUUAGCGGUUGAGUGUGCGG